CCCUACGGGGCGCAGCAGUAGGGAAUCUUCCACAAUGGACGAAAGUCUGAUGGAGCAACGCCGCGUGAGUGAAGAAGGGUUUCGGCUCGUAAAGCUCUGUUGGUAGUGAAGAAAGAUAGAGGUAGUAACUGGCCUUUAUUUGACGGUAAUUACUUAGAAAGUCACGGCUAACUACGUGCCAGCAGCCGCGGUAAUACGUAGGUGGCAAGCGUUGUCCGGAUUUAUUGGGCGUAAAGCGAGUGUAGGCGGUUCAAUAAGUCUUGUGUGAAAGCCUUUGGCUCAACCGGAGGAAU
rnacentral:rRNA from 1 species